rnacentral:rRNA from 1 species
UACAGGGGUCUCAAGCGUUGUUCGGAAUUACUGGGCGUAAAGGGCUCGUAGGUGGCCAACUAAGUCAGACGUGAAAUCCCUCGGCUUAACCGGGGAACUGCGUCUGAUACUGGAUGGCUUGAGUUCGGGAGAGGGAUGCGGAAUUCCAGGUGUAGCGGUGAAAUGCGUAGAUAUGCGGAGGAACACCGAUGGCGAAGGCAAUCCCCUGGACCUGUACUGACGCUCAUGCACGAAAGCGUGGGGAGCAAACAGG